CCUCUUCAACUAGGGAACAACCUUCCAGGCUGAGGGGUAAACAUCACACUCUGUUGCCAGAGUUUUAUGAUGACUUGGAGGAUUUUACACCCAAAUACAGACCGCGGGACCUGAGAGGAAACUCCUAUUUAUAACGAGUCAGCAACAAUAAAUACCUGGGAAACGGUCCAGAAUCUAUGUAACACUUUAUUUUAAACUUGAAUAUCUUAAAUCUUAACAUCUCAAUGCAAUUCUGAUGAGAUUAAUGAGGGAUGAAAACAGAAAACUAAAUCUGAAGAUUUUGUUAUUGAAUGUAUGUGAUUGUCACUGUAGCAGUAACUACUGACAGGUAUGUUGAAUGUAUGUGAUUGUCACUGUAGCAGUAACUACUGACAGGUAUGUUGAAUGUAUGUGAUUGUCACUGUAGCAGUAACUACUGACAGGUAUGUUGAAUGUAUGUGAUUGUCACUGUAGCAGUAACUACUGACAGGUAUGUUGAAUGUAUGUGAUUGUCACUGUAGCAGUAACUACUGACAGGUAUGUUGAAUGUAUGUGAUUGUCACUGUAGCAGUAACUACUGACAGGUAUGUUGAAUGUAUGUGAUUGUCACUGUAGCAGUAACUACUGACAGGUAUGUUGAAUGUAUGUGAUUGUCACUGUAGCAGUAACCACUGACAGGUAUGUUGAAUGUAUGUGAUUGUCACUGUAGCAGUAACUACUGACAGGUAUGUUGAAUGUAUGUGAUUGUCACUGUAGCAGUAACUACUGACAGGUAUGUUGAAUGUAUGUGAUUGUCACUGUAGCAGUAACUACUGACAGGUAUGUUGAAUGUAUGUGAUUGUCACUGUAGCAGUAACUACUGACAGGUAUGUUGAAUGUAUGUGAUUGUCACUGUAGCAGUAACUACUGACAGGUAUGUUGAAUGUAUGUGAUUGUCACUGUAGCAGUAACUACUGACAGG